GACGAACGCUGGCGGCGUGCUUAACACAUGCAAGUCGAGCGGAGCGGCGAACGGGUGAGUAACGCGUGAGUAACUGCCCCCCUCCCUGGGAUAACAGUUGGAAACUGCUGCUAAUACCGGAUAGUGGGGGAUGACUCGCGUCCAAUCAGCUUGUUGGUGGGGUAGUGGCCUACCACGGCGACGCCGGGUAGCCGGCCUGAGAGGGGGACCGGCCACCUUGGGCUGAGAUACGGCCCAAUCUCCUACGGGGGGCAACAGUGGGGAAUAUUGCGCAAUGGGGGAACCCCUGAUGCAUCAGCGCCGCGGGCGGAAUGACGGCCCUCGGGUUGUAAACCGCUUUCAGCCAUGACGCGGUAGUGGCAGAAGAAGCACCGGCUAACUACGUGCCAGCAGCCGCGGUAAUUC
rnacentral:rRNA from 1 species